GUAGGUGAACCUGCGGAAGGAUCAUUAACACGUAUCCAACGUUAAAACAACCACAAUCCCUAGUAAAUCAUUGUUAAACAGCUUUUGAUUUAGGGACUUCUGCCACCUUGUCGAAAGAUUUUGUAGGUUUGAGGGCAGAGCAGCGACCUGGUACCCCGCUGCACAAUCAAAGUCUGUCAGUGUCUUUGAUUGUGUAAGGGUGUCGUAGAACAACGCUCGCUGUAGGCCGACACGGCCGGCGACCAGGUCUCCGGGUCACCACGCCCCUUAAUUACCCCACUUCUAAAACUGCGGUCGUGUUAAUUCUGACGAUCGAAAAAACUUUGAACAACUGUUAACAAUGGAUAUCUUGGUUCUC
rnacentral:misc_RNA from 1 species